GUCCCCCUCCUCUGCCCCCACCGCAGAGCAGCGCCCGGCCACGGGCUGCGGGCUGGGAAGGGUUUGUUUACGUGCAGCGGCUCGCCGGGCUUGGUGAAGCCCCUCUGAGACGUGGCUACGGCCGGGAAAACCUCUCCUCGGCCCGCCCGCCUGCUCCCGACCGUAAAUCACUGCCAGCUCCAUCGCCAUCCGCUUCCUCCCACCCAGAGGAUGAGGAGCGGUGGUUCUCCCUGGCUCUGUGUGAGCGCUGGCAAGACCCGAGCCAGAGGGAUGCACCGAUGGGAGAUGCGGCUUCCUCCUCUCGCCUUCCCGCUUCGCCGCCGCGCCGAUGGAUGAGCCCGAAUCGCCGUCCCCGGCGGCGUGCCCGGUGGGAACGCCUCGCUCAGGAACUCCAAGGACACAUUCCUGUGGGGAAGUGGAAGUUCCUGCCCAGAGCCACCAACCCCAACCAUGAUCCAGCUGCCAGUGGCCACCCCAGCUGUGCUGCGUAACCCCACAGGACCCCAGUGCGAGGUGCCAGAGGUGCUCUGCUGAUGGGAAGAGCUCAAGCCGGCACACAAAGGAGGCAGGGAUCCAGCUGUAAAUUAAUAUUUUAUAGAACACCAAGAAAAAUCAGAGAGGCUAAUUACAGCGAUAAUCAUCGCAGCCUGGAGGCAUUUCCAUGGAAGUCAGGAAUUACCCAGGAUUACCUCAGCCCUCGCAGCAGCCUGCGCGGGAGGUGAGCGCGUGCGGCGGUGGCACGGCACCUGGCACUGCCUCCUGAACCAGCUGGGGGGCUGCAGCCCCAACCAAAGAGCAGCCAGGUUCUGGCAGCCUCCUGGCAUCCAACUCCACGGCAUUCGGUUUGCUGGGCUGAAUGUGACAGAGUGGAGGGUUGUUGGAGUCACGGGGUUUGGGGCUGGGUGCUCGCCUGGGUGCCUCUGUGCCUGUUUGUCCCCAGUGCCACUGAUGUGGGAGCCAUUGUUUACUCCAAGCUGCUUAAAACCCCAAGGGGUUCAGAGCAUCACUAGCAAAAAAGUUUGUGAUGUGCCCUCA